rnacentral:rRNA from 1 species
AUUGAACGCUGGCGGCAGGCCUAACACAUGCAAGUCGAACGAAGUCUUCGGACUUAGUGGCGGACGGGUGAGUAACACGUGGGAACGUACCUUUUGGUUCGGAACAACUCAGGGAAACUUGAGCUAAUACCGGAUGAGCCCUUAGGGGGAAAGAUAUAUCGCCGAAAGAGCGGCCCGCGUUAGAUUAGCUAGUUGGGGAGGUAAAGGCUCACAAAGGCUACGAUCUAUAGCUGGUGUGAGAGGAUGAACAGCCACACUGGGACUGAGACACGGUCCAGACUCCUACGGGAGGCAGCAGUGGGGAAUCUUGCCCAAUGGGCGAAAGCCUGACGGAGCCAUGCCGCGUGAAUGAUGAAGGUCUUAGGAUUGUAAAAUUCUUUUACCAGGGACGAUAAUGACGGUACCUGGAGAAAAAGCCCCGGCUAACUUCGUGCCAGCCGCCGCCGUAAGAC